rnacentral:lncRNA from 1 species
AGAUUCCUUCUUAGUUGAACUCAAGGCAAACUGAAACACUCCAAAGUCAUCUAUAAAUGGCUAUUUUAUUGUUAUCUUUGCAGAAGGAAGAGACUCCAGCUUCUCUUCUGCCAUCCUCUCAUCACUGGACUAAUUCAAUGUGACAAACUUCCUGAGGAUGCCCACUUUGAACAAGGACAGAUGUACCAAUGUCCAAUAUUCCCAUCCCUCCAGCAAGAACUGAAGGAUUUCUUAUGGGUACUUCACUGUCAGGCUACUAAUGACAUCAGCCACAAUCUGAAGCCACUGUUUUUCCUGGUCUUCUAAAAGAUCUACUAGACAAGUGGAGUAUAUAUGGAGAUGAAGCCCUGGCAAUGUAAGAAAGAGAUCAGCAUUUCCCCAACAGGAAGGAAUAGGUCUGAGGUCCGAGGAGAGAUCUGGCACUAGGCACACUUCCAGAGGUCUACAAGGAUUACAUGAACUGACAAUCUAGGCAAUGGUGGAGAGGAUAACCUAAACGCCCUUCCCCUAAAAUGAGAUUGAUGACUACUUUUUAUGCCAUCCUAGAGCCCUCAUCCAGUGGCUGAUGGAAGCAGAGGCAGACAUCCACAGAUACACAUGGAACUGAACUCUGGAACUUAGUUGCAGAGAGGGAGGAAUGAAGAUUGAAGGGGUCAGUACCAGGUUGGAGAAACCCACAGAAACAGCUGGCCUGAACACAUCGACCCCAGAUGCUGUCUGGGAGGCCAGUACAGGACUGAUCCAG